rnacentral:lncRNA from 1 species
UCAAUAUGAUUUUUUUGUCUCAAAUAAAUUUCUAAAUUUUACUUCAAUGUUUAAUUUGGUACUUAAUUUUUUUCUUCCUAUUGAAUACCUAUUUUUUUUAAUUAAAACUCACGUAUCAGAUAUUCAUUGAAUCACGUUAUAUUGUAGGGAAUCUUUUAUAUUUGGCAGCAAAAAUAAUGUUUGUGUCAAAUAAUUUUACGGAUUAAU